UACGGGAGGCAGCAGUGGGGAAUAUUGCGCAAUGGGGGCAACCCUGACGCAGCAACGCCGCGUGCGGGAUGACGGCCUUCGGGUUGUAAACCGCUUUCAGCAGGGAAGACAUCGACUGUACCUGCAGAAGAAGCCCCGGCUAACUACGUGCCAGCAGCCGCGGUAAU
rnacentral:rRNA from 1 species